rnacentral:rRNA from 1 species
UACGGGGGGGGCAAGCGUUGUUCGGAAUUACUGGGCGUAAAGCGCACGUAGGCGGAUAUUUAAGUCAGGGGUGAAAUCCCAGAGCUCAACUCUGGAACUGCCUUUGAUACUGGGUAUCUUGAGUAUGGAAGAGGUGAGUGGAAUUCCGAGUGUAGAGGUGAAAUUCGUAGAUAUUCGCAAGAACACCAGUGGCGAAGGCGGCUCACUGGCCCGGUACUGACGCUGAGGUGCGAAAGCGUGGGGAGCAAACAGG